GACCUUGUAGCACAUCUGACUCCAGAUCAGAAGGCUGUGUGUUUGAAUUGCGUCGGGGUCA
rnacentral:tRNA from 1 species